rnacentral:lncRNA from 1 species
GGAAAAGGAAAGGUAUUCCCUCUGAAUAUAUAUCACUCUUCAACAGGAUUUCGUAGGGUGAGUAAUUGCUUUCUAUUAGUUUUCUCCAUUCCUGUUCCUUUAAAUUUUAUAGAUUUUUUUUUCGCAGUAAAAAACUAUGCUACACUUGUUGUAAAUCCAUGGAUUUUGGAAUUAACGUUGCUUCGAAUAGUUGAAAGCUUACUCGUUUGGAUUAAUUUCUUGAUUUUUCUUUUCAAGAAAUUACUGUUAAUUAAGUCAAUCUGAUGUGAUAUAUCAAUUUUAUGAGGUUUGAUCACGAAUGUCUUUUAUGCUAAUGCUAAAAAUCCGAGAAUGAAUUUGAUGAUUUUGUUGCUCUUUCUUCAGUAGUCGAUAUGAGUCACGAUGAAUUAGUUCAAUUGCGUUUGGCUAAUUGAUGUAGCUUAAACCAAUCGAUUUAAAGAUGCUUAAAAAAAUAUAAAGAUAAGAUUAAGAAAUCAUUUGAGCUUUAUUGAAAUCUAAUGCAAGUUUAAAGUAAUGGUCAUUUCAUUUUGUUAAAUGGCUACUGCUUUGUAGUUGAUGUUGGUAAGAUCAUGCAGGAACAAGUUGAUUUUAUUGCAUUUUCGUGUUUUAAUGUGGCUUUUUGUUUCGGUUGUUGUUAUUCUUAACAGGCCACCAUCCUUGGAGGUCGUAUUUGAUUUGCCUAACUUAAGCAUUUUGUUUAUAAACGUAGGACAAUAACUGUUUGGCGAUGUUAGAUAAGAAUCCGUCUGCCUAGGCAUUUUUUAGUGGAGCUUAAUAUUUUAUUGACAACUGGGGCAAUGCCUUCGGAAUGAAGCAUGGGGACUCAGUUGCAGGACCCAUAAAAAAUCCUGCAACUUACCAGGUAAACUGUUAUCUUUUAAAACAAGUAAUGUUAGGCCUUCUAUUUCUCACAUAAAAUGAUGAGAAACACUUUGAUUAGAUAGCGAUGUGCAAAUUGCUAAAUGUGUAAUUAUUCUUAUAUCUGGUAAUCAUUUAUCAAAUACAGAGGAAAAGGUAAAGACUAAAUAACACGGUUUUUUCUAUUUGUUCAAGUUCUUGUCAAACAUGAUCAUGGGGUAAUUAAGUUAGGUCAAUAUUUAAAUGAUUCUAUUCUUGUCAAUGACAUUCUCGUGAUGAGUGUUUGUUUUGUUUGUAAUAUAAUUUUAAGCAAGUGGGUGGCUAUAUGGCCUACAUGAUAUAACUGGUGCUUGGGAAGUAUGUUUCACUUUCUUUGUAGCAAGACAUUGGCAUAUGGAGACAGAAGAAGUGUUUAAAAGGGAUAGGGUCCAGCCAAUUGAUUAACAUCCUUUAUUCUUCUCUAGUUAAUUAUGUGGUUAAAUUAUGAAGGUAAAAAUAUUGGAAUGGUGACAGAGUAACAGACUGAAAGUAAGUGAACUUGUACAAGUGCUGUAUGCCAAGAACGCAUUGAAUGGGCAAGAACAUAUAAAUAUGGUUAAUCUUAUGAUUUACAAAGGAAUCAAUGCUUAACUAUACAAUCUAAGACAGUAUGAUGUUCCAUAAAAUCAUAAAAUAGAGCAUAUGCCAUUAAUUUUUUUUGGAAAGCAGCCUAUGGUGUGUGUUAUUUGUUGGAAGAAAAACAAAAUACUGCUGAACUUUGCAUGGACUAUCAGUUUACACAAGGCUGGUAAUAAACUGCUUGAGCUUCAUUAACGGAGUUGUAGUAAAAUAAAUUUUGGCCCGAUGGUGAUAAUUGGUAUAUCCGCGAGAGAAAUUGGAGGGAGGUAAACAGCUAUAAGAUAGUGAUGUCUAAUGGUGUAUAAUAAGGAACUAAAAUGCAAAAAUGAAAUGAUGAGAAAUUUGUUGAUGCAUGACUGACAAGAAAUAGUGGUCAGUCUUUGCAUUGGGAAUGGUUGAACAUAUGAAGUGUAGCUGACUAGAUAUACGGAGUCAUUUCAUGGAGUGGUCAUGCAUAAUUGGAGAAAAUGUUUGGUACAAUAAAGGGGAGGUCAAAAAUGAUGCGAGUGUAGUAAAGAGAAGUUGGCAAAAUGAAUGACCAGGUUAGAGCAUGUCUGUAAAAUAUGUGUUGUUUAUCUUGGCCGAACAGAUAGCAGAAGAAAAUAUUAGAAUUUGUUUGACAUGAUUCUGACCUAGGGUUGGCGGCCCAACCCAUCCCUGGCGGGUUCUUACCCGACCUAAUCUCAUAGGGUAGGUUUUUUUUUUUUUUAAAUCGGGUUUUGGGUCGAGUCGGAUUUGGGUUUUAGGUAAACCUGAUCCGAUCCGAUAUUAUAUAAAAAUUAUUUUUUAAAUUCUUUAUUUAUAUUUAUAAUUAUAUAAUUAUAGUUUUAUAUUUUAAAAAAUAAUAUUUUAUAUUUUUAAAAAAUAAUAUCUUAUUAAUUUCGGGUUGGAUCAGGUACUGUUUAUACAAUAUCAGGUUGGGUCGGGUUCGGGUAUGAAAAAAAUAAAAAAAAAUUUCGAGUCAGGUUUGAGGCGAGCAAAAACUCGUCCCGACCUGACCCGUUGUCAACCCUAUUCUGACCGGUACUUUUUCUCUUACGCUUCAUGGAAUUUUAAUUUUGCAAGCACAUUUCACAUUCAAUUCAUACGGAUGUUUUCUUCUUCUUUUUGUGUCUGAUUAUUAUUUUGAAAAAUACAGAAUAUUUAGAGGGAAAAAUAAAGAUAGUGAGGAACUAGGCUUCACCGAAAAAGUGCUCACAUGCAUACAAUUCCUGUUCUUUUACUGUUUUAAGCAUCAGAUACGUGAGAGUUUGCAGAUUGUAUACUUCUAAUUUGUAAAAUAGGUUUUUUCAUCUAUGGAAGUGAAUUUCAUACUUCAAGUGUUUAAAAACUACCUGGUUAAAACCCUAAAUUAUCACACAAGAAUAAUGGCUGGCAUUUCUUUUAUAGAGCCAACAGAACAAUGCUGACAAUUAAAGCUAGCUUGCAAUCCAACCUAUGCAAUAGUUGUUUCUAUGUGAUGGUUACACAAGGUUAAUGUGGCCUCACAUCAAAGUUUCUGACAAUUAAAGCUAGUUUGGAAUCCAACCUAUGCAAUAGUUGUUUCUAUUUGAUGGUUAUACAAGGUUAAUGUGGCCUCACAUUGAAGCAAGUGGUUGACUUUUUCAGUAAUGCGACAAAAAAUAAUAUUGCUUUUGCAACUUCUUGAUUUAGGUGUUGUUAGACAGAUUGAUGGGAUUACCAGCUAAAGAUAUGCCCCUGAUCAUACGUGGGGUACCCUGAAUGGUGAAUGUUUGAUAUUUUUUUUUAGCAAACUUCCCCAGAGAUUCUUUCUAUGGUCUAGUGAAAGAUACUAUUGUGUUAAUAUUUUUCUGUCUUCGUUGGUUUUCUAUGUAUAUAACUCGUUUUGUAGCACUUUCAUUUACAUCUCUUUAAUCUAUUUUUUUUUCUUUUUUGGCGCACCAAAGUAGCUCCUAAAAUGAAAAGGCUGGCAUAUUCAUUAGGAGCAUAUGUGAAUUAAAUGGGUCAGUUAAAUGCAUGGCAAAAUUUCCUUGGUACACGGGGAGUAUUUCCUUCGCAGCAACAUCUGUCAAAAGAUGCUUCUCAUUGCAUGGACAAAUUUUUGAAACCUUUUGAUGGGUUUUGGGAGACAUUAAUUAAUGGGACCUACUGCUGCUCUAAAAUGCAAAGAAAAUGCACUUUUUUCAACCUAUUAGGUUAAUAUCAUCCAGAAGUGUCCUAAAAUCUUUAAAUAGAUUAUAUAUUAAUUUUCAAUUGUUGUAUAUAUCUUGUGGAGAAUAGUAUGAUUUGAUUAAGAGUGAUAAUCUGUUUUAUAUCAUCUGUGCUAACACGAAGUUUGAUCAUGCCUUGACUAUAGUUUACCAUUUUAACCAUAUCACGUGCAUGGAGUCCAAAUUUUGUUCAUUAUGUUCUUGUUGUGUUGGCAUAGGACUUCAAUGAUCUUGGCUCUUGCCGAUCUUAACUGCACUUAUUAUGGCAGAAUUCUACCGGAACGAAGAUUUAGCAUCUUCAAUUGAAGCAGAAUGGAUUACUCAACUUUAUGAAGUUCAAAGUACCGUGAGUAGGUUAGUGGCCAUUUUCUUAGUUGUACUAUAAUUAAAUUUGCUUACCUUUAUUAGUGUUCUCAUCACUUUUUAGAUGAGAAAUCCCUUUUAUGUUAGGUAUGCAAAGGGGUUCUGUUCCAAGGUGCUAUGCACGACAUAUGAUUUUUGUCUGGUGGGCUACCAUCUGACAAGGUAGUGUUUUUUUUUUUUUGUCCAUAUAACUGUGCAGCCAAGCUAAUAAAAACAAUAGAAUAAAUAGGUCACGAGGGGCCAGAGGACUAGAAUACGUUAGACAGCAGAGCAGAACUGUAUGAUGAUAUUAAUCCUGAAUUCUUGGCCAUAACCUCACUAAGCAAGCAUGUCACAUGCUCUAGUUGUUGAGGUUUGCAACUUCUUCUUACUUUUUAGUACGAGGGCUUCAUUUAUUUUGAUAUGAAUCUGAUGAUGUUGUCGUUGCUUACUUAUACCUAAAUGCGCAAGUUGCAUCAUGGCAGGGUAAAAAUAAAUGUUUUGUACACAUGGUCCACAUUGAAGUCAUUUUGGGGAAUCAAUGACUGCAGAGGGAUGAAUCUGAAAUUUAACUCAGUUAACUUAUGUAAUCACUUUUAAGAAAUGUAUCUAUUAAGUCUAAGAUUUAAAUUUUAAUACGUACAAUCUUUACCCUUUAUCAUCAGAUUGCAACCUCUUAUGUAUAACAAAAAUGACUACGGAAAGAUUAAUUAUUCCAAUCUUAUGAAGAAGUAUAAAUAGAAUAGUUAUAAACUCUUCCGAAAUUUUGGGUUGGAGGAAAGUAAAUAAAAGUCAAGUGGGGGCCAUUGAAAUAAUGUUGACAGAGUCCCACUUCUACACCGUAUCAAGUCUGCUACACUAGUUUGGCUGGUCAACAUGAUGUAUAAAGUUGUGUUGAGCUUGGUCUCUUGCUUUAUAACUGUUAACAUCUGAGUACCAUUGUUCUGUAUGGUGACUGCAUUUUGCUUCCCUGUUUUCUUCUUGGGGAUCUUAAUAUCGGUUCUAAAAAAGGGAACAUGGAAAUUCUCUUUGGAAUAGCUCUGCAAUUUUUGUUCAUAAUUAUUGAUUUGGUUGCAGCUAGUUUGGUUACCUCUUUUAUUUGUUUAUUUUUUUCUUAAUUUUUCAUAUAUAUUCAUAUCAUAUCUAUGCUAGGUGCUAACUCAUCGGCAAUGCAGGAGCAGCACGGUGGAUGGAGGGAACAGAAGGAGCCAAAAAUUGGUAAUCAUGUCAUCAUUAUCAUUACUACCAUAAUGCUCAUGAUCUGUGGUCCUACUUCUGCUCUUUUCUUUUUCUCUUCUCAUCCGUGACUCAGUCACCGAACAUAACAUUAUUCAGCACAAUGAUUAAAAUCUCAUUUAGGC